GAUGAACGCUGGCGGCGUGCCUAAUACAUGCAAGUCGAGCGAACGGACGAGAAGCUUGCUUCUCUGAUGUUAGCGGCGGACGGGUGAGUAACACGUGGAUAACCUACCUAUAAGACUGGGAUAACUUCGGGAAACCGUAGCUAAUACCGGAUAAUAUUUUGAACCGCAUGGUUCAAUAGUGAAAGACGGUCUUGCUGUCACUUAUAGAUGGAUCCGCGCUGCAUUAGCUAGUUGGUAAGGUAACGGCUUACCAAGGCAACGAUGCAUAGCCGACCUGAGAGGGGGGUCGGCCACACCGGAACUGGGCACCGGUCCCGACUCCUACGGGGAGGAGCAGUAGGGAAUCUUCCGCAAUGGGCGAAAGCCUGACGGAGCAACGCCGCGGGAGUGAUGAAGGUCUUCGGAUCGUAAAACUCUGUUAUUAGGGAAGAACAUAUGGGUAAAUAACUGUGCACAUCUUGACGGUACCUAAUCAGAAAGCCACGGCUAACUACGUG
rnacentral:rRNA from 1 species